AAACUGACUUUCAGGAAAGUGUUGUUGUGGAAUGUGAAGACGACAAAUUUCAGUUGGCAAGUUUUGAGUCUGUGUUCAAUGAUAUUGAUGAUUCGAAGUUUGAUAACUUUUUCUCAUCUCUACUUGAAAUGGAAGACCUUAAGAAGAAGGACAAAAGCAACUUUGAGAUGGACCUGGACAAAUUUUUGAUACC